CCAGGCUUCAGUGCACAGGACAAUGUAAGGAGAGAGCAAGCAAGAACAUUUGUUAUUUCUACCCAGGCGGAAAGCAAACAGCAGCAAGAGCAGCAGAAGAUUCAAUGUCGGAACAGCCUACAAACUGCAGGCUGUAACCUCGACGGUAUUGAUUGAGUGCACUUGUCCAUCUUCAUUUUUAACGCAAAAUAAAAUGCGUGAAGAACUGUGGAGAUGGCCAGGCAAAGGAGGAUCUUCUUGGCUUCAUUUGUACCAGAGCACUUUAUCAAGACUGAAUAUAAUUUUGCUGGCCUAUUUAUGAGCUAAAAAUAGACAUUAUUUUGUUUGGCCCAUUUUCCAUCUUAGGCUCUCCUGGGAGCCCAGGUGAACUGUGGCUCAUUUUUAACUCCCUCCCAUCAUUGCGUAUUUUCCGUCGACCCAGGCUGCAUGGAAGUGAAAGUCACUUUGUACUGCCAGUCGCACUGGAGCGCGCUGAAUCUCCCAGAAGCAGGGAAAGAAAAAGGCCCGUGGAGAGGACUUUCCAUUCUUAGCGAAACCUAGCUGCUGUGGCCUGAGGGGCUAAUCAAGCAUUAUAAACACUGAUUAAAUAAGAGUGCACCUGCUGAGGAGUCACUGAGGACCAGCUGAGUGACACAGGCAGUUACACACAAGCAUGGAGCCAAGAUACCUGACAGUGGCGUGGACUUCCUGGAAGAAGUGAAUGUGAAUAGAACUGAAAGUAGAGGAGAAAGGGCAUUCUCAUGCAGGUGAUUUAAAGUCCAGAAUUUGGGAUAGAAAGGAAGUGAUGGGAAGGAGGAAAGUCGGAAUGGAAAGAAGGAAGGAGAGAAAAUAAGAACAAAUCUCUUACAUGUCCAUGUACUGUAUUAUUCCCUGAAUAUCUUACAGCAAAAACAAAAACAAAUAGUCUCUGUGAUAAUUCUAGCAUUCACAUUUCUUGGUUAAUUUCUCAAAUAAGUAUUUUAUUUUAAGGAAAAUAAUAAACAAAAUUAUAAAUUCAAAAUGGAGGGCAAGCGAUUUAGAACAUUUAGAUGGUUACUGCUCAAAUUACGGUCCCCGCCUCAUCAGUGUAAGCCUCACCUGGGU
rnacentral:lncRNA from 1 species